ACGAUCGUAUCAACAGGAUCCUGUUGGUAACGUAUAAAGAGACGUUUUUUGCCUUUUGCAAAGAAAAAAAAAUUUAAUUGCAGUAAAGAUCAACAUACGGAAGAUGAAAACUUUUAUAUUUCUUAUUUUGGUAGUCCUUUUCAUGGCGGAACUGACCAUGGCCGGCUAUGGAUGCCCCGGGGAUCAAGAUCAAUGUAAUGCCCAUUGCCAAAGCAUCCAGUGUAGAGCAGGGUACUGUGCCUUUUGGACAGCGUAUUUAAGGUGUACCUGCGUUG